CAUGUGCAUGCACACACAUGUCCUCCUACAGGCAAGGCUAGCAAACCUGUAAAAUAAGUAAUAGAUCUUGGAUGCCUCUCAUCUCCUCUUUUAGGGGUCUUCUACCCUUUGGCCCUCCUUCCUGAUGCCUCAUGGUUCUUUUGCUCACCCCUCAUCAGAUGAUAGCUUAGUCCCUUUUAGGGGUUGGCUCAUUGUCACAGUAGACUCUUAGGGAUGGAUAAUCAUUCAAGUUCAAAAGUAGUAAAUCUCUAGUGGUAGAAUUUCAAGCUUUGGGACAAGCAAAUGGAUGUGGGAGACGUUUUAGGGAGGGGAGACAUCUUAUCAUGCUGUGUGUGGUUGUGUAUUUCCCAUGACAGCUCUCCAGCACAGAACUCCCACGUGUAUAUCAUAUGUUUGCAUAUAUACCAUAAAAAUAAAAUACCCACAAAACUCUCAGAAUGAAAAGCAAACACAUAUACUGAGCAGGUGGAUUUUUAGAGUGUGCAACCUUUUUUAGGGGAAAAAAUUAUGAAAGCAUUUUCAGUGUCAAGUCUCACCACAAGGCAUGCUCUUGAAGCUGGAAGAGAGGCAUCCAGAAAUACGAGUUUGUCAUGGAAACGCUGACAGGGCUUCAGCUGAGGGAUGCUCACAGGUGCAGCCCAGAAUGGCGCAGCCUCUUGCCGCUUAUUUACAUCCCGGCCCACUGAAUGAAUUCUCUUUUCCUGUUUCCUGGCCCCUGGAAACUCAGCUGGCCUUCCGGGGACCUGAGGGUUUCUAUCAGGAAGGUCUCUGGUGGUGGUUUUCAGAUUUCUGGGGCAGGAAAUAGAGGGGGGGGUCUUAGGAUCAGUUUCAUUUCUGGAAGAAGAGCUCCUGGAGGGAGUACUGAAAGGAAUGAGGGGAGGAGGGAAGGAAUGAACGAAGGAAGGGAGCAAGGGAGGGAAACGCUGAUUCUAAGUGUCAGGCACAACCCUAGAAGCAUAUAGCCAUCAUAUUCAAGUCUUCAUCACCAUCAGCUGUAACCCAGUGAGUUAUCAAAGCUUAUUACUAUGAUACAGAGAAGGAAAGAGGCUGGCAGAUCCAGAGUGGGAGCUUACAACCACAUCCUUGGUAGGCUAGGUGGCUGGGUGGUGUAAGGAUUGGGAGUUCCCCUGACCCACCAGUUUUGCUGAUGCCGAAAGCCCUCAAGCAUGGCACAAAGGCCUUCCCUUGACAAGCAGUGAGAAAGAUGGAAAGGUAAUUCCUCCUGGGACCAUCCUUGGUCCUGUCAAGGGGUAGAAUGACCACAGACCUUGUGCUGGGGAUAGGCCUUGCUCCGGGGGACACUUGGUCCCUGAGGAUAUGGGUUCUCUCUUCUUCCCAACUGGGGCCCAGGAGUCCUGGCAGGAGCAAGAGAAGGGCAUCAGCUGCUUUAGGAGCCAAUAGGCAGGGCCUGAGAGGCUGGGGGAAAUGGUUGGGAAAAGGAAAAAGUGGUUUCUGUCUGAGGGAAGUUUCCAUCUAGCGGGGAAAGUGUGGUCCUUUAGGGGCUCCCAAUCCAAUCUGACAAGGGAGGCAGGAACUCUGAACACAAGGAGUCCAAGAAGGAUAAAAGAAAGAAAGAAAGCACAGUCCAUGCACUCCAGGGGCUCAGCGUCUGGAGAGAGAAAGACCUGUUUCUUCAACACUGGCCGUAGACUGCCCCACCCCUGACCAAGCAUCUCAGGAAUCAAAGCCACCAACCCCGCCCUGGACUGUGUGAAGAGCUGGGGUGAGACAGACAGCCCAGCUCUCUCCUAUGUGCCUGCCUGUCCUCCGAGCAUCCUCCUGCAGCCCUUUCUGUCAGCUGCCCGCUCUGUGGAGGCCUGCAGCUUUGGCCAGGCGCAGCGGCUCUGCUGGGAGGCUGGUUUGCACUCAGGGCUGCUCUGAUCGGGCCCACCUUUCCUUCCCCAGCAGGAGCCUUGGGAGCUUGGGAGACAUUCCAGGACUGGCUCUGACACGAAUUUGCUGUUCAGUGCGCCAGGCGAUCAGAGCUGACUCCUCUCCCUUUUCCCUUGGAGGUGUUGAUAGUAACAGCAGAGACGAGCUGCCAAGUUGGCAGGAGAACAGAGCGACUGUGCACUGCGGAUUGCGGUGGGGGUGGGGGUGCAGCAAGCUGGCAGAGGGCUGGGCUGAAGCCACAGUUUGUUUACCCUGAGAUGGAAAGGGUCCCUGCAGUCUCGGCAGCCAGCAUCUUGCCCAGGAGGGGAGAUUAGAGAGGAAGGCGGAGGCCCCGGGGGAGCCCUAGGGCAGUGGUGUGGGGUGAGGCAUCUGGGAGGUUCCCAGGUCUGGGUGCUGCCAGAGUCGGUGGGAGGGGCCUUCUGGCUGGGCCUGAAGCCACCAGGCAGCCUGGCCCCGAGAGGCAUGCCGGGCCUCAGAGGCAGGACAGAGAUCCACCUUUGUUCCUGCUGUCCAUGAAGCAGCUUUGGAGUUUCCAAACAGGAAUGGACCUGGGGUGGGGAGCAGGCGAGUUCUGUAGCUUCUUCCUCCACAGAGGACCUUAGAAGGCACCCAUGCUGUCAAUCAAAUAGACCUGGGACCUUGAGCAAGUCAUUCAACUUCUUUGAGCCUCAGAGACGAAUAUCUACUUCAGAGCUUUGUGUGAGGAUUCAACAAAGUAGUAACAGCAAAAACUUAUCUAUUGCUUACCACAAGGCAGACACUCUUCUAAGAGCUUUACAUACGUGAAGGCACUUAAUCUUCAAACGACUUCAUCAGGAGUUUCCAGGGAAUGAAUCCGUUGCCACUUUCUGGGCAGCCAGAGCUACCUCCUAUCAGCUGUGAGACAGCAAACCAGAGCCAGGAGCCUGGAUUACCGACUGCUUCCCAGAAAUGCAUACUCUGUCAGAUCCCAAGGGGCCCAUUUACAAUUGAUGACAAGAAGUCGGAGGGGUGAGUAUGGAGAGGAGACUCCAGAGGAGUGGGGAGUGACUCCCUUCCUCCUGCUGCUGAUCCUGUUUGGUGCCAAGCAAUAGUCAGAAAUCAGGAGUGGUGAGAAGCAAAUGGCCCGGGUGGAAAGGAGAGGGGAGUUCACCAGGAGCAAGAGAA
rnacentral:lncRNA from 1 species